rnacentral:rRNA from 1 species
AUUGAACGCUGGCGGCAUGCUUUAAACAUGCCAGUCGAACGGUAACAGGCCUUCGGGUGCUGACGAGUGGCGAACGGGUGAGUAAUGCAUCGGAACGUGCCCAGAGGUGGGGGAUAACGCAGCGAAAGCUGUGCUAAUACCGCAUGUGAUCUGAGGAUGAAAGCGGGGGACUAAGCAGCAAUGUUUGGCCUCGCGCCUCUGGAGCGGCCGAUGUCAGAUUAGGUAGUUGGUGGGGUAAAGGCCUACCAAGCCGACGAUCUGUAGCUGGUCUGAGAGGACGACCAGCCACACUGGGACUGAGACACGGCCCAGACUCCUACGGGAGGCAGCAGUGGGGAAUUUUGGACAAUGGGCGCAAGCCUGAUCCAGCAAUGCCGCGUGCGGGAAGAAGGCCUUCGGGUUGUAAACCGCUUUUGUACGGAACGAAAAGGCUCUGGCUAAUACCUGGGGCUGAUGACGGUACCGUAAGAAUAAGCACCGGCUAACUACGUG